rnacentral:rRNA from 1 species
UUGUCCAGGGGGCCGCCUUCGCCACCGGUAUUCCUCCAGAUCUCUACGCAUUUCACCGCUACACCUGGAAUUCUACCCCCCUCUACAAGACUCUAGCCUGCCAGUUUCGAAUGCAGUUCCCAGGUUGAGCCCGGGGAUUUCACAUCCGACUUGACAGACCGCCUGCGUGCGCUUUACGCCCAGUAAUUCCGAUUAACGCUUGCACCCUCCGUAUUACCGCGGCUGCUGGCACGGAGUUAGCCGGUGCUUCUUCUGCGGGUAACGUCAAUUGCUGCGGUUAUUAACCACAACACCUUCCUCCCCGCUGAAAGUACUUUACAACCCGAAGGCCUUCUUCAUACACGCGGCAUGGCUGCAUCAGGCUUGCGCCCAUUGUGCAAUAUUCCCCACUGCUGCCUCCCGUAGGAGUCUGGACCGUGUCUCAGUUCCAGUGUGGCUGGUCAUCCUCUCAGACCAGCUAGGGAUCGUCGCCUAGGUGAGCCGUUACCCCACCUACUAGCUAAUCCCAUCUGGGCACAUCUGAUGGCAAGAGGCCCGAAGGUCCCCCUCUUUGGUCUUGCGACGUUAUGCGGUAUUAGCUACCGUUUCCAGUAGUUAUCCCCCUCCAUCAGGCAGUUUCCCAGACAUUACUCACCCGUCCGCCACUCGUCACCCGAGAGCAAGCUCUCUGUGCUACCGUUCGACUUGCAUGUGUUAGGCCUGCCGCCAG